CCCAGACUCCUACGGGAGGCAGCAGUGGGGGAUAUUGCACAAUGGGGGAAACCCUGAUGCAGCGACGCCGCGUGAGUGAAGAAGUAUUUCGGUAUGUAAAGCUCUGUCAGCAGGGACGAAAAUGACGGUACCUGGGGAGGAAGCUCCGGCUAACUACGUGCCAGCAGCCGCGGUAAUACGUAGGGAGCAAGCGUUGUCCGGAAUUACUGGGUGUAAAGGGAGCGUAGACGGCGGCGCAAGCCAGAUGUGAAAGCCCGGGGCUCAACUCCGGGACUGCAUUUGGAACUGUGUGGCUGGAGUGUCGGAGAGGCAGGCGGAAUUCCUAGUGUAGCGGUGAAAUGCGUAGAUAUUAGGAGGAACACCAGUGGCGAAGGCGGCCUGCUGGACGAUGACUGACGUUGAGGCUCGAAAACGUGGGGAGCAAACAGGAUUAGAUACCCUAGUAUC
rnacentral:rRNA from 1 species